rnacentral:rRNA from 1 species
UACGGAGGGUGCAAGCGUUAUCCGGAAUCAUUGGGUUUAAAGGGUGCGCAGGCGGAAUUUUAAGUCAGUGGUGAAAUCCCUUCGCUUAACGAAGGAACUGCCAUUGAUACUGAAAUUCUUGAAUUUGGUUGGCGUGGGCGGAAUGUGCCAUGUAGCGGUGAAAUGCUUAGAUAUGGCACAGAACACCGAUCGCGAAGGCAGCUCACGAAACCAUUAUUGACGCUCAGGCACGAAAGCAUGGGGAGCAAAC